rnacentral:rRNA from 1 species
UACGGGGGGAGCAAGCGUUGUUCGGAUUUACUGGGCGUAAAGGGCGCGUAGGCGGUCGUGCCAAGUCACUUGUGAAAUCUCCGGGCUUAACUCGGAACGGUCAAGUGAUACUGUCGGACUAGAGUACAGAAGGGGCAACUGGAAUUCUCGGUGUAGCGGUGAAAUGCUUAGAUAUGACAUAGAACACCAAUUGCGAAGGCAGCUUACUAGCCGAAUAUUGACACUGAGGCACGAAAGCGUGGGGAUCAAACAGG